rnacentral:lncRNA from 1 species
CUACCAUGCUGGAACAGAUGCAGCUUGAGAGUAAUAUAGAGGUUCAGAAUCCAAAGAAGAGAAAGAGGAACUAGAAAAUGCAGGAAGUUGACAGACAUAAUCCUUAAGAUAAGAAGGAGGAUUAUGCUGUCUUUGAGAUUUUCUGGGAGCAAGAACAGAUGGGGAAGAGGCCAAAGCAGGAGGAGAGAUAUCAGGAUUGAAAGAAGGAAUGAAAGCAGAAUCAGUAGAAUCUGGAGCAAUAUGAUGAAGUGCUUGAACAGAUAUAGGAGGAAGAGGAGAUGAGAUAGGAAUGGAAGGGUCUGGAUCAGUGGAAUGUUCUACAGGUGGAACAAAAGGAGAGGAUGAAGGAGAAGGAUGAAUGUAGGAGGAAGAGGAGAGGAGAUAGGAAUGGAAGGGUCUGGAUCAGUGGAAUGUUCUAAAGGUGGAACAAAAGGAAAGGAUGGAGGAGAAGGAUGAACAGAAGAGGGUGUAGUUUUAAUAGGAAAACACGUUUCAUGGAAUAUAACAUCCCUGGAAACAAAACAUUUCUUGGAAGCAAGAUCAUACAAUUUA